UUAGCUACACAAAACAAAGAGACGAUGGAGGGCAAUAAUAACAAAGAGAGAACAUUCAAAGAUGGAGAAGAAGAAGAAGAAGCGAGAAAGGGAAGGAAAAAGGAAGAAACUGAAAGAACAACAACAACAACAAAGACGGUAGGUAUGGAUCCAAUGGCUAAAUUGGUGAUUAAUGUAACUGUUGCUCAAGGUGAUGUAGCUCAAAACCCUAAUGAUGUCCUUGCUUUCUCAAGAUCUGUUCAUAACAUAGAUUCUUCCCUUGAAUAGAUUGAUUGUGAGAUUUUAAUCUAUCUCUUUUCAUUUCAUAUUAUAUAUACAUAUAUAUCUAUCUUUUUCUUUUGAGAAAAUGAGUGGUUAAUCGCUUACAGACGAUAAGCUCUUGGUCUUCAUGAGAGUAAGAGGAGGGAUCUCAAUGUUUUUUAUUGUAGACUCAUGUCUCCAAGCAGUAAGGAAAUCAGAAUAACAGUUUGUCUCUCUUGGAAAAUGUAGACGAUCUUACAUAAAGACAACAUUGACAUCAACUGAUUAAGAGCACCAGUGAUUUUCUUAAUAGCUAAAAGGAAAUCUGAUUGAACAACACAUUCGGCUGAGUAACAUGAACCUCAGCCUACAACGUUGUGUAUGGAGAAUUCUCUAACCAUGCACCAUCAUGGUCUCUUGGCAAGAUUUUCUACAAUUAGAAAAUUUUUUUUGGGAUAAGUACCAACUCAUCAUUUUAAUAAACUUUUAACAACUAUCACUUUAAUUUUUAGGGUUUUUUUAAUAUUUAUGAUUUGACUGAGACUAUAUAAUUAAGCUGCCAUCCUAAGUGCUUAGGUCGACCAACCACUCCACAAGUGACAAAGCAAUUAAUUUCACAUUUUUAUUUACACCAAUAUAAUAUCAUGAUACAAUAAUGUUUAAAAAACUAUAUAAUAUAUUUAUUAAUGUAUUAAAAAUACCUUAAAACACCAUUACUAUUAUAUGUUUUGCCAACUUUCACCUACUCAUUAUCCUAUUCAAUGUUUAGUAGUUUAUUUAUUUAAUAGAAUAAUGCAUUAAUUUUUUUGUCUUAAUUUCAAUGUAGUCAAAACUCUUCAUAUUUGGAGUAUGACAUGACAUGACAACCACUAAAAAUCACCUAUAUUAUGUAAAAAGAAAAAGAAGUCUCCUAAUAUUUAUAAUAUAUAGAUUUAUAUAAAGAAUUUCUUUUUUUUUUAGUAUUUCCUUUCUCUUUAGGAAAGAAAAAGAAAUUGGGUCAAAGACAAAACAUAACAGGCUUUACUUAGAAAACAACUUGGCUCUUUAACAACCCUGCACGUCAUUUUGCAUGAUAGAAUUUUGUGAGAAGAUAAUUUAUCUCUUAAAUCGGCGGUGUCAUUCGCGGUUGUGGUGGGUGAAG
rnacentral:lncRNA from 1 species